AUUGAACGCUGGCGGCAGGCCUAACACAUGCAAGUCGAGCGGAGGAAGGGAGCUUGCUCCUGGAUUCAGCGGCGGACGGGUGAGUAAUGCCUAGGAAUCUGCCUGGUAGUGGGGGAUAACGUCCGGAAACGGGCGCUAAUACCGCAUACGUCCUGAGGGAGAAAGUGGGGGAUCUUCGGACCUCACGCUAUCAGAUGAGCCUAGGUCGGAUUAGCUAGUUGGUGGGGUAAAGGCCUACCAAGGCGACGAUCCGUAACUGGUCUGAGAGGAUGAUCAGUCACACUGGAACUGAGGCACGGUCCAGACUCCUACGGGAGGCAGCAGUGGGGAAUAUUGGACAAUGGGCGAAAGCCUGAUCCAGCCAUGCCGCGUGUGUGAAGAAGGUCUUCGGAUUGUAAAGCACUUUAAGUUGGGAGGAAGGGCAGUAAGUUAAUACCUUGCUGUUUUGACGUUACCAACAGAAUAAGCACCGGCUAACUUCGUG
rnacentral:rRNA from 1 species